UCUGGCAGGUUCCGGUGGCUCCUGCAGCAGCAGACAAGGAAGACCGCCAGAGGGCUCCGAGACUGUUUAUAGGGACAACACCCAGUCCCGACACAUCACAGAGGGCAAAUCUCUGUGUCUGCGUAUGAGCUAGAAUUUAUUACAGGUGUCGGCAGAGGUUUGCAGCCCAAGGCUCAGACUUCAGCCGACUCGCCCGAGCUGUCCAAGCUCCGUUGGGUCAGCGCCUGGACUGGGGAUAUCUGAAACCUCGCAAAUGAUUAAAUGUGUUUUCCUUGCGCUGGCCCUGGCACCGCGUGUCCUUUCCCAGCUGCAGUUGGUGGCCUCAGGCCCUGGGUCGGGGAAGGUCUCCGAGCCCCUCACACUGACCUGCGCUGUCUCCGGGUUCUCCAUUAAUACUCAAUAUUCCUACUGGUACUGGCUCCGUCAGCCUCCUGGAGAAGGGCUGGAGUCCAUGGGAUAUAUUUAUCCAUAUAACGGGGGUACCGGCUACGCCCCGUCUCUCCAAGGCCGGAUCACCAUCUCUGCAGACACCGCCAAGAACCAGGUCUCCCUGACGCUGCGCUCCCUGACAGCUGCGGACACCGCCACCUAUUACUGCGCCUGGAGAGACACAGUGACACGGAGACAGGGGGCCUGGGACAAAAAGGGGGCCAGCCACACGCUUCGCUUCCCAGAGAGAAGGCACCUGACUUUGCCCUUGCGGUCCACCCCCUUCUGAGGUCACUUUAAGUUGAAGGAGACGCUUUGUCAGAGGCCACCACGAAGCUGGAGAGAAGGAGAGAAAGAGGAAACACCUGCGCUGGUGAAUGGGCAGGAGAGAAACUUUGUUACAGGAGUUUUGCAGUUUUGGAAACCACCAAUCAGGGCCUGAGGUUGCAACAGACUGUCCUGUGCGCUCCGCAGCUGAACUGGGGAGCUGGGGUUCUGGGGGGCCCCUCUGACAAAUGACUGAUAUUU